rnacentral:rRNA from 1 species
AUCGAACGCUGGCGGCAGGCCUAACACAUGCAAGUCGAACGAGUGGCGGACGGGUGAGUAAUGUCUGGGAAACUGCCCGAUGGAGGGGGAUCACUACUGGAAACGGAAGCCAAUACCGCAUACCCUCGUUUGCGCCUAGAUGGGAAUGGCUAGUAGGUGGGGUAACGGCUCACCUGGGCGACGAACCCCAGCUGGUCUGAGAGGCGGACCACCCACCCGGGACCUGGUACACGGUCCGAAUUCCUACGGGGGGCGGCGUUGGGGAGUAUUGGACAUGGGUCGCAGGCCUACUGCAGCCAUGCGGCUGAGAUGAGGCAGCCCUUCGGUUUUUAAAGUACUUUCAGCGAGAAGGCGGUACUCGCAGAGGAAGCACCGGCUAACUCCGUGCCAGCAGCCGCGGUAAUUC